rnacentral:rRNA from 1 species
AGCACUUCGGUGUGAGUAGAGCGGCGGACGGGUGAGUAACGCGUACGAAUCUACCCAGUAGUGGGGGACAACUCGGGGAAACUCGAGCUAAUACCGCAUACGCCCUACGGGGGAAAGCGGGGGACCUUCGGGCCUCGUGCUAUUGGAUGAGCGUGCGUAAGAUUAGCUUGUUGGUGAGGUAAUGGCUCACCAAGGCGACGAUCUUUAGCUGGUCUGAGAGGAUGAUCAGCCACACCGGGACUGAGACACGGCCCGGACUCCUACGGGAGGCAGCAGUGGGGAAUAUUGGACAAUGGGCGAAAGCCUGAUCCAGCAAUGCCGCGUGUGUGAAGAAGGCCUGCGGGUUGUAAAGCACUUUCAGUUGGGAAGAUGAUGACGUUACCAACAGAAGAAGCACCGGCUAAAUCCGUGCCAGCAGCCGCGGUAAUACGGAUGGUGCGAGCGUUAAUCGGAAUUACUGGGCGUAAAGCGCGCGUAGGCGGCUAAGUCAGUCAGAAGUGAAAGCCCCGGGCUCAACCUGGGAAUUGCUUUUGAUACUGCUUAGCUAGAGUUUGGUAGAGGAUAGUGGAAUUCCAGGUGUAGCGGUGAAAUGCGUAGAUAUCUGGAGGAACAUCAGUGGCGAAGGCGACUGUCUGGACCAAAACUGACGCUGAGGUGCGAAAGCGUGGGUAGCAAACAGGAUUAGAUACCCUGGUAG